UACGUAGGGUGCGAGCGUUAAUCGGAAUUACUGGGCGUAAAGCGUGCGCAGGCGGUUCGUUGUGUCGGUGGUGAAAUCCCCGGGCUCAACCUGGGAACUGCAUCUGUGACUGCAUCGCUGGAGUGCGGCAGAGGGGGAUGGAAUUCCGCGUGUAGCAGUGAAAUGCGUAGAUAUGCGGAGGAACACCGAUGGCGAAGGCAAUCCCCUGGGCCUGCACUGACGCUCAUGCACGAAAGCGUGGGGAGCAAACAGG
rnacentral:rRNA from 1 species